UCACUUGCAGCCAGACAGCGCCUCCUCUGUUCUCAAGUCUCCCAGGCCCUGCUGUCAUGCCCAUGACAUCACUAGGUGGGUCACAUGACAAACUUACUUGCCCGCCAGAACCGCCAGUAGUGAGUGGAGGAGCGGCAUGGCUGUAGUGGAGAGGCUUUCUUAGGAUCUACUCUGGUCUUGACUGGGCUCCCCUGGCACCUGGAUCACUAGUUAUAGCCAGUAAAUUUGGGGACAAGUCACAAUUGCAAUGCAAUAAGUGAUGUGGUUAGGAGUGGUGUUUAUUAUUAUAAUGUUCAGUUCACAGUGC